AGCUAAUCCCCAGACCUAGUCAUAAGAAGAUCCACCUGCAGUGACCAGAGCCAUUUAGAGGUUAACAUACAUGUCUAAUGAGAACUUAUUGAGAUUACGUCUCAAAAGAAGAAGUCGUAUUCAGUAAAAGGAUGGGAGACGCUUAGCUACAGUCACACAGAGGAGACGUUUUUCUUCUUCCAAAUAUAAAACCAAGAUAUCAGGAAGGGAGGCAUGGGCUGAAAGGACCAGAUUAUCUGUAACAAUGUUUUGUCAGCAUGGAAGAAGACGCAACCCUGCUUAAUUCUGGAAGUCAAAUCUGAGACUGCAACUCCGAUGGACGAGAGCUCCUCCAGAAUCCCUCCUGAAAUCUUGAGGGACUAAACAAAAAUUUCAUAUUGACAGCUCAAGAUUUAUUGGAUACUUAACUGGAAAAUGGAAUAUUGCUAUAAUCUCAGUGUGGAAAGGGAACUCCAAGAGCCCACACAUUCAACAGGUCACAGACUUGGAAUCAAAGUGAAAUAAACUAUUGCUUCCAAAGUCAAAACACAAAAUCAGCAGUGCAGGCCCGAAGAAAACGAGUCAAAAAGACUCAUCUUCUGCAACUUUUUCUUUUAACACUUUAAAUCUCCCUUUCAAAAUACAACUUCCU